UUUAUUUGCCAGAUCGCCCUGCAGCUCGUCGCCCGGCAGCCCACUGGAGCUCAGCAGGUGUGAGCCUGGUCAGUACCUGGAUGGGAGACCUCCUGGGAAAAACUAAGGUUGCUGCUGGAA
rnacentral:rRNA from 1 species